UACGAAGGGGGCUAGCGUUGUUCGGAUUUACUGGGCGUAAAGCGCACGUAGGCGGACAUUUAAGUCAGAGGUGAAAUCCCAGGGCUCAACCCUGGAACUGCCUUUGAUACUGGAUGUCUUGAGUAUGGAAGAGGUGAGUGGAAUUCCGAGUGUAGAGGUGAAAUUCGUAGAUAUUCGGAGGAACACCAGUGGCGAAGGCGGCUCACUGGUCCAUUACUGACGCUGAGGUGCGAAAGCGUGGGGAGCAAACAGG
rnacentral:rRNA from 1 species